ACUAGCGCUGUGAGCAACAUCUCCGGUUUGGCAGCGUCUUCUGUUUUCAAGCAAAAGGGUGGCCCCCGUCCCAGAAGAUACCUUCCUUUCAGUUCCGCCUUCUGCGAGGUCGUGUGUCACAGGUAUGACGUCGGCGGAUUUAACGCCCACUAAGGACCUCGGUUUGAACGUGCUGCUCACUGGCAACGGGUGCAAAUCGACGGUGACAUGGUCGGACAAGCCAGUUUUAUGGCAUCGCUCGUCGAGGAGGCAGCCACAUUGAAAUUGGCGUCACCGAGCGAGCGGCUAUGAACAUAGUCUUCGAACAAGGCUGCAGUGUCGUCUCGGGAGACAGUUAACAACCUUCUACUUCUGGAAGGACGCCCUCAUGGAAGCCUUGUCAAGGAGGGAUUCCAGCUCCCUCGACACUGCCGUGGACGACCUGCGCCACAGGACCUGGCUACCGCAGAUGACUCUGCACGCUCCCCUUCACCACGUCCGCAGCCUUCGGACAUCCGCUGCGCCUGAACAUGACGAUACCGACGCUUUCCAGCCAGAGCGGCCCGGUCAGCCUUCCCCAUCGACUUCGACUCCUGCUAAGACUCCUGGCGUAGAAUACCCUUCACAGACGGCUCUUGCCGGCAGCGGAUGGGUUACACGCAGUGCUCUUCCGCAACGAACGAUGGUGUAUGCAAAUAAACGUGAUGUUGUUGGUUAA